UGUAGUUACUUAUUGGUGUUUUUUAGGAAAGAAGGCGAUAAAGCUAAGAAGUGGUCCGAAGCCCCCAAAAGAAUUUUAUGCUGAUCAUCCCUUCAUUGUCUUCUUAAGUAGCAGUUGUCACACUAUCGUUAUGUUCCAGGGUCGCAUAUCGAAUCCUAAUAACUGAAUUAUACAGGAAUGCAAAUAAUGCUGAUGUGCAUGCCCCCACCACCAGAAUCCUUUGUCGUCGACCAUCCUUUCAUAAUAUUGUUGGCUAAUCAAGUGAAUGGAAGAGCUCAUGUUUUGUUCAAAGGUCGCGUUUUUGAACCAAAGUACUAAAAUAUUUAUAUAAAUGAAGUUUAAAUUAAAAAUAUUGUUAUUUCCAACA